GUGGUUUGACACGACCCAAUCUGAUCGCCCCAUCUUCGCCCUAAUCCGGGUGAUUUAUGUCGGGGUUUUAACAUCUCCUCCGCCGGCGCUCCCGUUGCCGCCCUCCGCAAUCCGUCGAUCCGUUCAUGCGCAGUCUUCCCUCACCAGGACAACUCCCACAAGGCCUGGAAGCCUCCUCCCAUGGAUGCCUCCGCCGCGGUAUGGCUCAAAGGUACCAACUUUUUCUGCAGACUCUCUUCCUCCAGGUCAGUUCCUUCCGUAUCGGCUCCGUUGAAGAAGAAUCAGCUGACAGAAGGCGGAAGCUCUUCCGUUCUUUUCCGAAAAUUCCCAUCUUGGAGCUGCCCGUGCAUUGCUAGGAACAGCAGUGGUGGAAUUCUGAAAAUUUCAGCACGACUACAACGGCCGUUGAGGCAGCGGCGCAACACGCUGAGGGAUAAGCUUCUUCCUUCUCCUGUAGAGCAGGUGCGUAGAGUUCCUGACUCUCUGGAUUCAGUUACUGAUUUGGAGCUGUCCGAGGAUGGCAAACAUCAAGCGGAGGGAUUUUGCACACAGAUGGAUGCUGAGGGCAAGAAUGAAGUGAGCAAAGAACUAUGCUUCGAGGGUGGGAGUUUGCCAGAAACUAAAUCUGCUUUGCAGGAUAAAUUGGAGAAUUGGGUUGACCAGUACAAGGUGGAUUCAGAGUUUUGGGGAGUAGGGGCCGGUCAUAUAUUUACGAUUUAUCUAGAUUCGGAUAAGAAGGUUGUUAAUGUCUUUGUGAAUGAGGAUGAAAUCAUUAAAAGAAGCAGAGUCCAUGCAUGGUCUCUUGAAGAGAAGGAUGAGUUGGAGGAGUCUACUGUUACAAAUUCUAAGAUUUUUCGUGCAAAUCUUAUUGCUAGAAUGAUAGAGAGUGGAGAGUAUGCACUUCCCAAAAAUAGUUCAGUGGUUAAGUUUAUUCCACAUGAAAAGAAAUCAUCUUUUUCUGAAGGUCUUCGUUCAGUCUCUCUUCAGGUUCAGCCAAUUUUGAAGAUGUUUCCUAAUAGGGCUUUCACAUUGUUAUGUGGUUUCUGCGUUCUGUGGGCUACAAUGAAGUUGUUUGUGCAGAAUGAGCAAGUAGAAUUGUCUAGGGAAGAGGCGGAAAUGCUGAGGAGAAAGAUAAAGCUUCGGAUGGAGAGGGAGGAUAUAGAGAAGGGGAGCGUCAAAGUUCUUGAUGAUACACCUGAGUUGCCUGUGUUCAAUAGGCCACAGUUGGAUCAGAAUGAACUAAUGAAGAGCAUUAUCGAAGCAAAAACAUCAUCAGAGAAAUCAUUCAUGAUAAAUUCAUCUAGUGACUUAUAUGUCCAAACUCCUGAUUUUAAUGAGAAAGUAAAAGAAAUUAGAGAAAUGGCAAGGAGGAUAAGAGAACAAGAGCAGCAGGAUAUUUCUGAACCAGAAACUUCUAAGAAAAUCGACGUUGAUUCUGUGUCACGAAAUGAUUAUAAAUCACGUCUUGUUAAUACGAAGAAUGUUGUUUUAGAAAUUGAAUCUAAUGGCGAAGCUUCAAAUGUUGAUAUAACUUACAUGAAGAAUCCACAUAUGCAUCAAGAUACUGGCAUUGAGUUUCAUGUGGAUAGAAAGACCAAGGACUUGUCUGGAAAUAAUAGUCCUGAACAUUUAAGCAGUACUAGCUAUCAAGAAUCAUCAAGUUCACUACAAGAUAAUGAUAACAGAAUUAACAAUGACGAUGACCGCCAGAAGGAAGCAAUAAGAUAUUCAAGCGGAGCUCGAUCAAAUAAUGUUGACACCAAAAACAUAGAGAAUGCCUUGCAUAGUUCUGCUGCUGAAGAGAGAAUAAACAGUAGUAACUCAACUGAAGUUUGCACUAGAAGUGGAUCUGAAAAUAAACCAAGAAUCAUAACAUCAGUUAAGGAAGCUAGGGAAUACCUUGCCAAAAGAGAUGUUGUGCUAUAUGAUAUGUUACAGUCUGACAAAGAAGUGCAAGAUGGGGGGCAAUCAGCCGGAGUUAGUUCAUUGAAUCACUUGUAUAAGGAUAAAGGUAUGAAUAACGAAAGUCCUGGAACCAGUGAAGACCUUAAUUUGGUUGAAACAUCAGAAAAUUUCCAUGUUGAUUCAUGCAAGGAUCUCUAUGAUGAUGGCUCUAUUACUGCUCCUAUUCUUAAAAGACCUACUGUAGAUAAUUUUUCCAUAAAUAAAGGAAAUGUGAAUGAUGCUAUGAAAAGUAAGGUAACUAUGGAUAUGGAGAAUUACAAAAUGAGAGGGGGAAUUUUUGAUGGUUUGUCUGAUGAUACUGAUCAACUGUUUGUCACAGACAGCAGUGUUAGUGGAUCUUUUGAACCUUUUGAUUCUAAGACUGGUGUCAAAUUGAAUUCGAGAGAGAUGUUUAUUGAGGCUGUAAACAGUGUUGAUUUGCAAACUGAUUCAAGCACUCCAGAAAUAAGGGAUCUGAGUGAGGAACAAAAAGUUGUGGAGGAUCAGAGGGAUGGAUGCACUUUGAAUGACAAAUUAAAAUUAGAAUACCCUGCAACCAGUACUUAUGAGGUGAAGACAUUGAGUACGAAUCCUCUUAAAGAUGAUAAACUAGGUCAACCCCAAGAGCUAGUUGGUCUGAAGGACAUGAACAAGUUUACUGAAGAGACACAGCGGCUUCAGUUUGAAUUUAACGAGUCAGAAAUUCCAGUUGAUAAAUCUGCUCUAGUUACAGAAAGUAAGGUGGUGGGAACAUCCAAGUUUGAUCAAGAUGAAAGUUCUACUCUAUCAGGUUUUGACCCUUCUUUGCAGUCCAUUACAGAAACACUGGAUACUAAUCUUAAAUUUGGUGAUAUGUUAGGAGAAUUAGAACCACCACAGUCUGCUACCAAUGCUUUUGAUGUUUCAACUAAAGGUCAGAACACCAGUAGUCCAAGAAAUUCAAGUACUAAUUCUAGUGAGAUUGGCUUUGCUGAUGAAGGAAAACAACUAAAUGCUGGAAGGAGUUGGAUUGAAGAGAACUUUCAGGAAUUGGAGCCAGUGAUUGCUAAAAUAAGGACUGGCUUCAAGGAAAAUUACAUGAUAGCGAAAGAGAAUAUGCAACAGCAACCAAAUUUGAGUGCCCAAAUUAGUGAACUGAGGUUGACAGACAUUGACAAUGAACUUGAAUGGAUGAAUGAUGAAAGGUUGCAUCGAAUUGUAUUUCAGGUUCGAGACAAUGAACUGGCAGGUAAGGAUCCUUUUGAUUCUAUGGAUGCUGAAGAUAAGAUUCUCUUCUUCAAGGGAUUAGAAAGCAAAGUUGAAAAGGUGAAUGGAGAGCUUUUACGUGCCCAUGAAUGGGUACACUCCAGAAUUGAAAACCUAGAUUAUGGAGCAGAUGGUAUCAGCUUGAAUGAUCCACUGGAAAAAAUAAUUCCCCGCUGGAAAGCCCCUCCAGUUGACAGAAAUCCUGAAUUUCUUAGAUAUCAAAAACCAAUCUUUACUAAGGAGGAUGCCGCAGAAAUCAAGCUUCAAAAAACAGAAAAUUUGCCAAAUUCUGAGGGCGUUUCCAGUUCUUCAGUCGAUGGCAUCAGAAGGUUGUCACUAGAUGCAUCUUCCAUGAAAUCUAAAUCAGUAAUUGAGAGCAGUGAUGGUAAUAUAAGACCAGGAAAAAAGAAUGGAAAAGAACAUUGGCAACAUACCAAGAAAUGGUCACAAGGUUUCCUUGAAGUUUAUAAUGCAGAGAAAGAUCCGGACAUUAAAGCCAUUAUGAGAGAGAUGGGAAAGGAUUUGGACAGAUGGAUCACUGAGAAAGAUACUCAAGAUAUGGCUGACUUGAUGAAAAAGAUGCCCACAAGAAGGCGUAGGUACAUUGAAAAGAAAUUGGAGAAGGUUAAACGGGAAGUUGAAAUGUUCGGUGUACCAGCAGUUGUCAGCAAAUACAGAGAAUAUGCUGAAGAAAAAGAAGAAGAUUACUUAUGGUGGCUAGAUCUUCCAUGUGUUCUGUGCCUUGAACUCUAUACUAUUGAAGAAGGUGUUCCAAAAGUGGGAUUUUAUUCACUCGAAAUGGCAGCGGAUCUUGAACUGAACCCGAAGCAAUAUCAUGUGAUUGCUUUUGAGGAUGCGGGAGACUCUAAGAACUUCUGCUAUAUUUUACAGGCACACAUGGAUAUGCUUGGAAGUGGUAAAGCUUUUGUUGUUGCUCGGCCUCCAAAGGAUGCUUUUAGAGAAGCCAAAGCCAAUGGAUUUAGUGUCACCGUUAUUAGAAAUGGCCAGAUCAAGCUUAACGUGGACCAGACACUGGAAGAAGUAGAGGAAGAAAUAACAGAGAUCGGAAGCAAGUUUUAUCAUGAUAAGAUCAUGCAUGAGCGAUCAGUUGAUGUAAACACAUUAAUGAAGGGGGUUGCUGCUGCUGAAAAAUCCACCAAGAAACGAAGUAUAAACACAUUAACGAAGGGUGUUGCUGCUGCUGAAAAAUCCACCAAGAGCAGACGGUCAACAAAAACACGCAAGAAGACUAGAAAACAUGCAAAUCCUGCCGAGUCAUCAUGAUUGGUAGAAGGCGCAAGCGUGUGCAGAAUGCUCUUGUUCUUAAAUCCCGACUGAAAGUGCAUCCAUAGAUAUACUUAUGUUGAAUAUGAUGGUGAUGCUGCCGGCAGCAGCCGAAGCCAUGGCAGAGCUCGGGAGGAACACUAACACUCACACAAGAUGGAUGCCUGUCUGCAACCAAGUUUGCAUUGUUUUUAACAGUCUUACGAUUGUGCUUUAGGACAUUCAGAUGCUGUUUGGGGUCCUAAACUUCCAUGAUCCUUACAACACUAAUGGGAAAAUUUGCAUCUUACAGGCACAGCAACUGAUACUAGUGCACGAGGGCACUUAAGAUUAAAAUGAUGGCAAACUUGGAAAUUUCAUAUGCAUAU